GUAAUACGUAAAAGACGAGUGUUAUUCAUCUUUAAUCGGUUUAAAGGGUACCUAGACGGAAAAUCAAGCUUAAUUAAACUAAGGACUAGUUUUCUAGAGUUUGACAUGAGAAGGUACGAACUAUCAGAGGAGAGAUAAAAUUUGUUGAUACUGGUGGGACGGACAACGGCGAAGGCAAUCUUCUACUAAAAACUGACGUUGAGGGACGAAGCCUUGGGGAGCGAGAAGGAUUAGAUACCCUAGUAGUCCUUGGAGAAAAUUAUGAGUGCCAUAGACUAAAGUGAAAAAGAAGUUCUUUUAAAAGAACUUUGUAUCUGAGCCUUAAUUGGAUACAAAGGUCUCGAGUAGCAGUUUAUAAAUGAAAGUGUAAGCAUUCCACCUCAUGACUAAAGCGGCAACGCCCAAAUUGAAAUCAUUAGACCGUUUCUGAAACCAGUAGUGAAGUAUGUUAUUUAAUUCGAUAACCCGCGAAUAACCUUACCACGUUUUGAAUUUAUUAAACAAGUGUUGCACGGCUGUCUUCAGUUAAUGUCGUGAGAUUUUGGUUUGUUCCAUUAAUUAACGAAAACCCUUGUUUCAUUUUUAUAUGAAAUAGUUCACCGUUAUAUUGGAAAGAUAAAAGGGAUC
rnacentral:rRNA from 1 species